GCGUGAGAGCCGCAGGUUGAUCGUCUUGGCUGCAGAUGAGCAGAGAGAAAACAUUGGAGGGAGCGAGAAGGGGGCUGGAGGAGCAGUGCCUUGGGCAGGCGAAUUAUGCAGGCACUAGGCGAGCGCUGAGAGCAUGGCGGUGGAAGCUAUCCAUUGCAAUCUGAAUCCUAAUGGCAUUGAUCGUCCUGUCCACGCAGAAGAUAUUAACCUGUCACUUGAAGGUGAAGGAGUUGAGUUGCCCUCACGUAAGAACGAUAAUACUCGGAAGGUGCUUGAGUCAAAAGGGACACCCAAGAGACAGCAGGUGGAACCAGAAACAUCUAAGUCUGGUACUGUGAAACUGACAAAACCAGUAGCUCUGUGGACCCAGCAGGAUGUCUGCAAAUGGUUGAAGAAACACUGCCCUAAUCAGUAUCAAAUCUACAGUGAGUCAUUCAAACAGCAUGACAUAACGGGCCGUGCAUUGCUGAGGCUUACUGACAAGAAGCUUGAACGAAUGGGGAUUGCCCAGGAGAGCCUACGACAGCACAUUUUGCAGCAGGUGCUUCAGCUGAAAGUGAGAGAAGAAGUCCGAAAUUUACAAUUACUUACACAAGUGCUCAAAGUUGACUAAGGUGAGAAGAGGAAUCCAUGCUUCCUGACUCUUCCUCCAGGCAAGCAAUUAACAUUUGAAGGAAUAUAGCCAGUGUGAGGCCUUCAUGGAAUUCUUACAGAAAGGGAGAAGUCCAAGAAGACCUACCAGGAUGGCCCCAACAGAGACUUCUCCAUAAACACUACCAGCCUCUAAAGCUUCUGUCCUGCCAGGUGAUAUGAAAGUGAACUUUACUUCAUGAAAAGCAUAACAAAUGGCACUGCCAGAAGGUGACCAAGGAGAAUUGAAAGAUGAACUGAAAUACAACCAUUCAGUCAAGAUGAUACAUUCUGGAAAGUCCUGGUUUGCUGUGGUAUUAAAAUGUGGUGCAUAAAAUACAGUGCUAAUUUGUUCAAAGUGGUCAUUGACAGACCAUUAGCUGGAAAAUUGUUUCCAGUUUUCAUCACUGUGCAUAACUUUGAGUUCCCUUUAGGGGACUAUCUGUGCCCUUCACUAGAAGUCCUGUUUUAGCAUGGCAACUACUGGAUUAUUUUAUUAUGUAUGCAGAUGGCAUGAUGAUGUUUUAGGAAAAACUUACAGCAGUUCUCCAACCUCAGUAAAAAUGUUCACAAUAUUACACCCCCAAUAGGAAUGUAAACGUCUUGUAUGUUA